AAACCAACUGGGAUUACCUUAGUAACGGCGAGUGAAGCGGUAAAAGCUCAAAUUUGAAAUCUGGUACUUUCAGUGCCCGAGUUGUAAUUUGUAGAAUUUGUCUUUGAUUAGGUCCUUGUCUAUGUUCCUUGGAACAGGACGUCAUAGAGGGUGAGAAUCCCGUUUGGCGAGGAUACCUUUUCUCUGUAAGACUUUUUCGAAGAGUCGAGUUGUUUGGGAAUGCAGCUCAAAGUGGGUGGUAAAUUCCAUCUAAAGCUAAAUAUUGGCGAGAGACCGAUAGCGAACAAGUACAGUGAUGGAAAGAUGAAAAGAACUUUGAAAAGAGAGUGAAAAAGUACGUGAAAUUGUUGAAAGGGAAGGGCAUUUGAUCAGACAUGGUGUUUUUUGCAUGCACUCGCCUCUCGUGGGCUUGGGCCUCUCAAAAAUUUCACUGGGCCAACAUCAAUUCUGGCAGUAGGAUAAAUCAUUAAGAAUGUAGCUACCUCGGUAGUGUUAUAGCUUAUUGGAAUACUGCUAGCUGGGAUUGAGGACUGCGCUUCGGCAAGGAUGUUGGCAUAAUGGUUAAAUGCCGCCCGUCU
rnacentral:rRNA from 1 species